rnacentral:sRNA from 1 species
CUUCCUCCACCUGUUGCGGGCAGAUAAAAUGGAUAUGCGCGUCGAUGCCGCCAGCGGUCAGGAUGCGCCCUUCGCCCGCGAUGAUCUCCGUGCCGGGACCGAUGGGAAUAUUGACGCCGGGCUGGACGUCCGGGUUGCCCGCCUUGCCGAUCGCUGCGAUGCGCCCGUCGCGGAUCGACACGUCCGCCUUGACGAUGCCCCAAUGGUCCAGGAUCAGCGCGUUGGUGAUGACCGUGUCUGGCGCGCCGUCGGCGCGGCUUAUCUGACUUUGUCCCAUGCCAUCGCGGAU